rnacentral:rRNA from 1 species
AGUGAACGCUGGCGGUAGGCCUAACACAUGCAAGUCGAACGGCAGCACAGUAAGAGCUUGCUCUUACGGGUGGCGAGUGGCGGAUGGGUGAGGAAUACAUCGGAAUCUACUUUUUCGUGGGGGAUAACGUAGGGAAACUUACGCUAAUACCGCAUACGACCUACGGGUGAAAGCAGGGGAUCUUCGGACCUUGCGCGAUUGAAUGAGCCGAUGUCGGAUUAGCUAGUUGGCGGGGUAAAGGCCCACCAAGGCGACGAUCCGUAGCUGGUCUGAGAGGAUGAUCAGCCACACUGGAACUGAGACACGGUCCAGACUCCUACGGGAGGCAGCAGUGGGGAAUAUUGGACAAUGGGCGCAAGCCUGAUCCAGCCAUACCGCGUGGGUGAAGAAGGCCUUCGGGUUGUAAAGCCCUUUUGUUGGGAAAGAAAAGCAGCAGGUUAAUACCCCGCUGUUCUGACGGUACCCAAAGAAUAAGCACCGGCUAACUUGGUG